GCGGACGUGGCGGAAUUGGUAGACGCGCCAGGUUUAGGUCCUGGUGGGCGAAAGCCCGUGGGGGUUCAAGUCCCUUCGUCCGCA
rnacentral:tRNA from 1 species